rnacentral:rRNA from 1 species
GACAGAGGGGGCAAGCGUUGCUCGGAAUUACUGGGCGUAAAGGGCGCGUAGGCGGGAUGGCAAGUCGGUCGUGAAAUCCCUCGGCUCAACCGAGGAACGUCGAUCGAUACUGCUGUUCUUGAGGAUUGCAGAGGAGACUGGAAUUCCCGGUGUAGCGGUGAAAUGUGUAGAGGUCGGGAGGAACACCGGUGGCGAAGGCGGGUCUCUGGGCAAUUCCUGACGCUGAGGCGCGAAAGCGUGGGGAGCAAACGGG